rnacentral:lncRNA from 1 species
UGGAUUCCUAUAAUAAUAAGGAGAUCAUAUGUGGCUGAUGUUUUCUGAAAUGACCAAUUAGUUGUGUUGUUUAUCAGAUAUUCCUAAUAUUGGUGUUAUUGCAAUCCAGGAACUUGCCUGUAUGGUGUUUGCUAGAAUAGAAGAAUCUGCAAAAAGGUUGGUAUAACCUGUUUAUCUGCAGGGAUUACAUCUUCUUUCUUGUUAACUGUGGUAACAAUCAUUGAUUACAGCUAAACUAAUUAUAACGCGAAUUGUUUCUUUCUGUGUAUAUGUGCAGAGGUCGGAUGUGGGCUGUACAUGGGCAUUAACUCGUUUCCGGGAUUCGGGAGGGAGCAUGUGCCAUGGAACUUCAAGAAGACAAGAACCAUGCGUACCUCCACGUCGUGCAGCGGCAGAAGCCGGAUCACGAUGAGCCAGAGCGCCCGCUGAUGAAGUCACUCUCCUCACCAUCAGUAUGACAAACUUGUCGCUCAUUAGAUCAUGCACGUAUCGUCUACAUCUAUCCACAGCCUGUGGCCUACGUGAAUGACAUGCUUUGGUUGGCAACGUAAUAUCUUCUGUUUGGCUCUGUUUUUUUAAUAAUGAUGACAGCCAAAAAAUACAUUAUCAAUGGAUUCACAUCAUGUGUUAUUCUGGAGCAGGUUACCAUACAUGACUGAAACUGUGCAAAGUACACACGAUAUGAUGUGUU